rfam:Rattus norvegicus chromosome 2, whole genome shotgun sequence.
GGGGAUUUAACUCAGAGGUAGAGCGCUUGCCUAGCAAGCGCAAGGCCCUGGGUUCGAUCCCCAGCUCCCCCC